rnacentral:lncRNA from 1 species
AUGGGGCUCCCCAGAGGGAGUGAGCAGAUGAACCCCAGGAUUCGCUCUGAAAUCCUCCCCACCUGCUCAACAGAUGAUUCCACAGAGAGGAAGAGCGGGACCCUGGAGCCCCCCCAGGCCUGCUCCCUGGCCGACCCGGCUCCACACGCUUCUGUGCUCUGCACAAGGAAAGUGGUUGACAGGGUGGAAACAUCGAACCUACAGAGAGCAAAUGGAGCCAGCAUCAUCUACCUUGAAGGCACCUGAGCUGUGAGGCCUGAGGUUCGACAUCACCUUGCUUGGAAGCAGGCCGUGAAAUGAUACUCAGGACAGAGAAUCCGGAAUCUCUUGUGAAGUCCAAAACUCCAGGGGAUCCUGUGACUCGUGGGACACCAUGGUAGCUACCGACCACAUGUGGCUUCUGAGCACAUGAGAUGCACCAUAAAUGGAACGUUCCUCACAAAAGUCUCUGUUUGA